rnacentral:lncRNA from 1 species
AAGCCAAUUCUGGUUAUGGUUGAGGCCAGGAAAGCCCCAGCAUAACUUUGCACACAGCCAGGGUUAGCAGUGUUAGCAUCGUCAUUGGAUUUGAUAUCUGAAAUACCAGCCAGGCGAUAUUGAGGCACACAAAGAAGACAACAGAUAAGAUAAUCACUUUAUAGUGCUGGAGUAGUUAUUGUGUUUGUGUUCUUCCUGGUCUGAUCUUCAGGUUGCAGUGUUCAGACGUCUCAGCAGAGACGACCCCCGGGGCUGAGUGGGUGACGGCGAGCGCCACCUUCAGAGGCACCGUCUCAGGAGCCGUUACCAUGUCUCAGCAGAUCUUUCCUGAUGGCAGCUACAGUGACACCAUCCUGGAAGUAAACCUGCAAACAAACUCCACACUCAGGAACACAGAGGCCUCCUGGUUUCUGACUGAAACUCGCGUCAGCAAUUGCAGUGCUGCAGGAGGCGUUUACAAUCCCUUUAGUAUGACAGAGGAGGUACGUCUACCACUCCACCCCACUCCACCAUCCACACAACAUCAUCAGCAGUCAUUAAAGGCAUUAAAGACAUUGCAUUGCCACAUAUAAUAUAAUAUAAUAUAACAUAAGAUAAUGUAAUAUAAUAAUAUAAUAUAAUGUGUUGAUCAGCUGUUGUUGCAUUGAAUGACAUUGAGAGCAUGUGGGAAUAAAGCUUCUUUUGAAAGUGAAUUUGAAGUGUGGGAGGUAUUCACAGGUGCAUGUGGUGAAAUCAUCUGAAUUCUGCAGAAGGGAACUGAAAGAGUGUAGUGGGAGAAAAGCUUCUUUUUGAAUGUGAAUUUAAAGUACGUGGGAGGUAUUCUGGUGAAAUCAAAUGAAUUCUGCAGAAGGGGAACUGAAAGAUGGUAGUGGGGGUAAUAAAAGUAUCUGCCUCAUCAUGCUUCACCUCCUCCACGUUCUUCUUGUGUCCCAGAGUUCCACCUGUUCGGCGGACAGUGCUUUGAACUGCGUGGUUGGGGAUCUUACCGCCAGGCUCGGCGCAGUCAGCCUGACCAAAAGACAAUUGUUCAUUGACACUACCCUGCAGAUGGCCGGGGAUUUCACAGUCAUCUACAGGUCACUGGUCCUCCGUCAGGGAAGCAGUGUUGUUGCCUGUGCCACAGUUUCCCCACUGUCACCAUUUGCUCAGCAGCUCUUUCCCAAUGUGUCAUCUUUCAGCAGGCACGACUUCCGUAACAGAGUGUCGAAUGUCCUCGGCGUGAGCAUCUCCAGGAUCACCAUCCUGCCCGGGUCUCUUUCCGCAGAAAGUGACGGACGGUGUCAGCAGGUCACCUUCGUGGUGUCAGGUAACGUGAGCUCCAGUGCACUGGCCACAGUCAAAACCAGUCCGCUAAUGGGCCAGUUCCAGGAAUCCCCCACCUGCAACAGAGGUAAGACUGCAUCUCAGUAGCACACAUGUUUACAUAUGUGGCAUCAAAGUUGACAUAUGUAGCAUAUGUAUACAGCAUUGCCUGCCGUACUAAGCUAAUGGAACCCUCUCUAUCCUUAGUAGCAUACAUGUUUACAUAUGUAGCAUACUUAUACAUAGGGUGACCAGAUUUGAGUUUGUGAAAAAGAUGACACUUCAGCCGCGACGGCCGGAGGGGGGUGGGGGGGGGUGGGGGUUGGUGU